rnacentral:tRNA from 1 species
GUGGCUCAGCUUGGCUAGAGCGCUUGAUUUGGGAUCAAGAGGUCGCAGGUUCGAAUCCUGUC